UGGUGGCAAGAUGGAGCCUGGAAUGUGCUGUAGAUAAAUCUGCAACGCAGUAAAUGGGCCACUGCUGCCCUGAAUCGUCUUCUGGGAAAAUGGAGGACAAGAAGUGGACGUGGCCGAUUCAGGAAACCUGUGCAUAUAAAGGGGGUGUACUGGACCUCGGCAUCACUGGAGGGACUUAGUGACCAUUAGGAUGCGGCAAUGUAAGGAAGGUAUCACAAGGGAGUUUGUAAUGGCCUUGGAAUACUUUCCUUACGGGGACAGAGCUGCUCCUUCUCAGGAGGUGAGGAGACUGACUGAAGCCUGCGCACAACAGGACGAGCAACUAUUCAUUGGAUGCGAUGCUAAUGCCCACUACUUAGUGCGGAGCAGCACCAACACCAACAGUAGAGGGCAAGUUACCCAUGAUGACCAGUAGUGUAAUCAAGAAAAUAUUAAGUUAGCAGGAAAUAACCAGCAUCUAUUCAGUAUAAGAAGACACACAGUUAAGUAGCAACUUUCUUGCUAAUUUUACAAUGUUAAAUGUAG